rnacentral:rRNA from 1 species
CCAGUGGCACCGCUGGGUAGCUAUGUACGGACAGGAUAACCGCUGAAAGCAUCUAAGCGCGAAGCCCCUCCCAAGAUGAGAAUUCUCUGAGAGCGAGACUCUCCUAAAGGGCCGUUGAAGACGACGACGUUGAUAGGCGGGAUGUGGAAGUGCAGUAAUGUAUGCAGCUAACCCGUACUAAUUGCCCGUGAGGCUUGAUCCUAUAACCCAGAA